AGAUUGCAGAUUCCAAAUUGCAGAUUGCAGUAUAUCCAUUUCGAAAUGGUCAUGACCAAAUUGCAGUAUAUCCAUUUCGAACCAUAAGUCAACUAAAAUCAUAACUAUGUAAUUAGUCUAAUGGUCAUGAACAAUGAGUAACUACACUAAAGAGUUUUGAUGCUAAUGUAAGCUAGAAUAAUAAAGGCACAGAAAAAACCAAAGAAGUCUAACAAAGAGAGUACAUAUAUAUGUGCCGAGGGCCUGUGCACCCCCGGGAUUAGUCGGGGCUCAAAGAGACUCGGACACCCGGUGCAAAUCAAAAAAAAAAGAGAGUACAUAUGAUACAUCAGACACUAUAUAUCAAACAUUCAGCAGAUGUAGCAGGAAACAAAAAUUAGCAUAUCCCACAAAAUACCAAGAGUUGUUCAUCAUUCUUAAUGAACAUUACAAAUAUAACAGAGAAAAAUUACAAAUAUAUAUGGUAU
rnacentral:lncRNA from 1 species